rnacentral:rRNA from 1 species
AUUGAACGCUGGCGGCAUGCCUUACACAUGCAAGUCGAACGGUAACGGGUCCUUCGGGAUGCCGACGAGUGGCGAACGGGUGAGUAAUAUAUCGGAACGUGCCCAGUAGUGGGGGAUAACUGCUCGAAAGAGCAGCUAAUACCGCAUACGACCUGAGGGUGAAAGGGGGGGAUCGCAAGACCUCUCGCUAUUGGAGCGGCCGAUAUCAGAUUAGCUAGUUGGUGGGGUAAAGGCCUACCAAGGCAACGAUCUGUAGUUGGUCUGAGAGGACGACCAGCCACACUGGGACUGAGACACGGCCCAGACUCCUACGGGAGGCAGCAGUGGGGAAUUUUGGACAAUGGGCGCAAGCCUGAUCCAGCAAUGCCGCGUGCAGGAAGAAGGCCUUCGGGUUGUAAACUGCUUUUGUCAGGGAAGAAAUACUUCUGGGCUAAUACCCCGGGAGGAUGACGGUACCUGAAGAAUAAGCACCGGCUAACUACGUGCCAGCAGCCGCGGUAAACGUACG